GCUGGGGUAGCUCAGUGGGUAGAGCAUGGACCUCUCAAUCUCAGGGUUGUGGGUUCGAGCCCCAUGUUGGGCA